rnacentral:misc_RNA from 1 species
UACGUAUGGUGCAAGCGUUGUUCGGAUUUACUGGGCGUAAAGAGCGCGCAGGCGGAUUAUUAAGUCGGGUGUGAAAUCUUCGGGCUUAACCCGAAGGCUGCAUCCGAAACUGGUGAUCUGGAGUCCCGGAGAGGCAGACGGAAUACUUGGUGUAGCGGUGAAAUGCGUAGAUAUCAAGUGGAACACCGAUGGCGAAGGCAGUCUGCUGGACGGUGACUGACGCUGAGGCGCGAAAGCGUGGGGAGCAAACAGG